rnacentral:rRNA from 1 species
AUUGAACGCUGGCGGCAUGCCUUACACAUGCAAGUCGAACGGCAGCACGGGGGCAACCCUGGUGGCGAGUGGCGAACGGGUGAGUAAUACAUCGGAACGUGUCCUGGAGUGGGGGAUAGCCCGGCGAAAGCCGGAUUAAUACCGCAUACGCUCUAUGGAGGAAAGCGGGGGAUCUUCGGACCUCGCGCUCAAGGGGCGGCCGAUGGCGGAUUAGCUAGUUGGUAGGGUAAAGGCCUACCAAGGCGACGAUCCGUAGCUGGUCUGAGAGGACGACCAGCCACACUGGGACUGAGACACGGCCCAGACUCCUACGGGAGGCAGCAGUGGGGAAUUUUGGACAAUGGGGGCAACCCUGAUCCAGCAAUGCCGCGUGUGUGAAGAAGGCCUUCGGGUUGUAAAGCACUUUUGUCCGGAAAGAAAUCCUCUGGGUUAAUACCUCGGGGGGAUGAGGGUACCGGAAGAAUAAGCACCGGCUAACUGCGUGC